UUCAGAUAUCGUUUGAAAUUGUUUAUUUUCAAGUACACUAAAUUUCUGUAUGUUUUAAGCUGUAGAAUAUAAGUUUAGUAUUUUCACCAACGGUAGAACUUAAAGUCAACAAAACCUGUUAACUGUUAUUAAACAUAUAAAUUGUAUGAACAUGUCCAAGUUAAUUGUUUUUGUAUUUUUGGUUACAUUAGCAGCGGUUAGCUGUUUUGUUUGCAUAGAACAUGGAGAAUCUUGUACGAUGGAUGGUGUAAAAUGUUGCGAUCCCAAUAUUUGCAAAGAAAAUGAUUUUAAAAAUUUAAAGUGUCGCUUUACCAAUCUAAACUUUUUAGAUUUUGAAGGAGGCAAUGUCGAUGGCUGAGUAUACUUUUUAAUUUCGUCAAUUUUAUGUAUAAUUAUAAUAAUUAAGAAUAUUGCAAUAGUGAUUAUCUGAUUAAUAAAAAUAAUUUCUACAACAAUUA